rnacentral:lncRNA from 1 species
GGUGGGGUGAAACGAGCGUUACCAUGGCAACCCUGCGGCGGAAGCUCUGAGAAGCUCUUGGCCUCUACCGGUUCUGCGAGAAAGUAAACUUUGGGCACGACAAGUCAUGAAGUCGGCACGUUGGGGAGACACCGUGUCACAAUGACAAGGUACCCUACAAGGCCUGUCAGGGAAGAUAGGGUAGAAUCCUGAGAAUGCUCCCACACAGUGCUGAUGGGGAAGGACCACUAUCCCAUCCACUGCUACAACUCUGGAGACACAGCUCUCCUAUCUCCCCUAUAUGACACAAGGCCUAAUCUGCAGAGAAAGAGCAUCCAAACCUGAGUCACAAGGCACUGGGGAAAAACUCCCGAACUGAGGGUAGAGAAACAAGGCCAACACCCACAUUUUUGCACAGAUGCAUCUCCCAUAAAGAAAACAAAUUAUUAACUUACAGGGCACUGUUGCAGGCCCACUUCAACUGGGAGUUAAGAACAUGGAGAAGGAGUAUCUCUCCCCUACCAUGGACAAGUAGGGACAGGAAUGUGUUCUUGCCCUGGCAUUGCAUCUACAGGAGGGGCAGGAAACUCUUCAAAUGUCAGUAACCCCACACCCCAGUUCACAGUGCUAAGUCUGAGGCUUCCUCAGAACAUUGGAGAUCCCCUCACUCCCUCACCGCUGCUACCAGGCUAAGAAGCAUGGAGUCAAAAGAACAGUGGAAUAUAGCUGGGCCAAGUGCAAGAAACCAUGUGUGGGAAGAGACACAAAGGGAAGGCACAGCAAACCCGGGAGAUAUUAGCAAAGUAUCAUGAAAGGGAUUUGAAUUUCCUCGUCAUCAGAAGGCUAUUACUGCCAUAACGACUUUUAAUCCCAGCCUACCUCUCAUCUACAUGACCACAAACCCCUACACUAAGGCCUAUCUGAGGGAAAAUCGCUCAUCGAUAACCUAAAAACUAUCCCCUUUCAAUGCCAGUGGGCUGAUGAAAAAAAUAAAAAGAAUAAAAAACCCA